UGCCGGGAGUGUGCGGAUACAAAACCCGCUCUGCGGGGAAGAAGCACGCCUGCCUUCGUUCAGGUUUUCAGCUCCCGGCGACCCGCCG
rnacentral:ncRNA from 1 species